GAGGAAUAUUGGGCAAUGCCCGCAAGGGUGACCCAGCAACGCCGCGUGGAGCAUGAAUGUCGUAAGAUUGUAAACUCCUGUUAGAGGGGAAGAAUAGUACCGGUUGGACCGGUAUAUGACUGUACCCUCAGAGAAAGCCCCGGCUAACUACGUGCCAGCAGCCGCGGUAAUACGUAGGGGGCAAGCGUUGUCCGGAUUUACUGGGUGUAAAGGGCGCGCAGGCGGGAUAAAAAGUCAGUGGUGAAAUCCUACAGCUUAACUGUAGAACUGCCUUUGAUACUUUUAUUCUUGAGUUCGGGAGAGAGAGACGGAAUUCCAGGUGUAGUGGUGAAAUACGUAGAUAUCUGGAAGAACACCAGUUGCGAAGGCGGUCUCUUGGUCCGACACUGACGCUGAGGCGCGAAAGCGUGGGGAGCAAACA
rnacentral:rRNA from 1 species